GACGAACGCUGGCGGCGUGCUUAACACAUACAAGUCGAACGAUGAAGAAGAGCUUGCUCUUCGGAUUAGUGGCGAACGGGUGAGUAACACGUGACUAACCUGCCCCUUUCUCUGGGAUAACGCUCCGAAAGGAGUGCUAAUACCGGAUACUCACAUCGAGGCACAUGCCUUGAUGUGGAAAGUUUUUCGGAAAGGGAUGGAGUCGCGGCCUAUCGGCUUGUUGGUGAGGUAACGGCUCACCAAGGCGACGACGGGUAGCCGGCCUGAGAGGGCGACCGGCCACACUGGGACUGAGACACGGCCCAGACUCCUACGGGAGGCAGCAGUGGGGAAUAUUGCACAAUGGGCGAAAGCCUGAUGCAGCGACGCCGCGUGAGGGAUGAAGGUCUUCGGAUUGUAAACCUCUUUCAGUAGGGACGAAGCGAAAGUGACGGUACCUAAAGAAGAAGCACCGGCUAACUACGUGCCAGCCGCCGCGGUAA
rnacentral:rRNA from 1 species